AGGGGGCAGUCUCUCUUUGGAAGGCAAGGGUGGAGCACUGGGUGCCUGAAGAAGUGCUAUGGAUAGAGCAGAGGAGUGCUGGGCAGGAGCAGCAGAGCAUGAGGAUGAAGAGACACAAAGACAGACUCUGUGUGCCCUGUAAGGCAGAAGAAACAUGCGAUCACCUUUUAUGGAUCCGCAACAAGGAACUUGCACUUGUCCUUCAGCGCCUCGUAGAGCUGGUCCUUGCAAUACUUGUUCCAGCUCACCAUGAACUCGUACAGCUUCCGCAUUUUCAUUGGGUUGGUUCUCUCGGCUGUAAUGGUCACGUA